UAGAUUAACUUGAUUCAGUAUUUUUGGACACUAGUGAUGUUAAAUCAAUAUAGAAAAACGAGGCAAAUAUAGUGUUAUCUUAAUGUGUGUGUAUGUAAGAAAGUAAGAAUAUUCUUUUGGUCUGGGGCUGCCCCUUAGUGUCCUGCUGAAGAAUUGCUUCUUCCAGAUCUCAAGCUUGCAACAGCUGCCAAGGCUGCAGGAACCAAGGGAAAGAAACUCCCUCCUGUCUGCUCCAGGGUACAUGUAGAUGUUUCACUACUGCUUUACUACAGUAAGCUCUGUACAGGGGUCAGCACUGUCAAUAGCACACCAAUCAAGAAGCAUUAUCAUUAAAAAUUACAUAGGAAAGAAAUAACCAUUGCACACAGCCUUGCUAGCUAGAGGUGUAAACUCUGCAGAGAAUUUAACCUGACCUAAUAUAGGUCAAAAUAUUGGGAUAAAAUGGUGGGAUUUAGGCACAUGAUUUGCUGAAGUCAGGCUUUAUAUUCCACUAAUUGCCCUUAGACACUCAUCCCAAACUUACUACCUGCAGAGGAAAAAGGAAGUUCAGAAGCACUUAAGUCAAUGCUCCUGUUUGAAGGGUAAAUACAGGAAAAGUCUGGAGUAAUGUAAUAUUCUCCAGAAAUAUUACAGGAUCAUUCUGCAAACAGCCAUGCAUUCUUGUCCAAGUGCAAUGGGAUCAAGAAACCUCAAGAGGGCAUUGAGAGACAGUAGAUGGUGAGGGUACAGAAGGUAGGCUUAAAAACAGCGUGAGGCCUUGGAUGAAAGCCCAAUUUAAGUAUUUUGCGUGUGUUUUCACUGUGGUGGAGAUAGGAGAAGUUCCCAGAGGACAGAGAAAGAGAUAUGUUGAAGGAUUUGUCUUAGUCUGAAGUGAAGGUAGAUGUUAUAGGACAGAUCCUCAAAACAAGAGGUAACAAGCCAAGAUGGAAUCCAGCCUGGAGCUAGAAGAACCUCAAGUUCUUCUAGAACAAUGGGAGGAACAAUGGCAGCCUCUGGCUCAGGACCACAGCAAGGAAAACUGGAAGGUACAAUGCCAAGUACUAUCCAGAGAGCCGAUAACAUUAGGUCUGCCAUCAUGUUAGAUAAAGGGGAAGAGACCCACCUGAAAACCAGAAGGGUAGGAACAUGACUAAACACAGUACAUUGAGGAAAAGUAAAGAAGAGUCAUAAUGCAAACCUGCUGACACUCCCCAAAGGAGUUCAUGAUGACUUACUUCUCUGAUUACUGCCCACCUUGUUCCCAGAAAAUGUUCCUCACUCUUAAGGAAAUUAGGCUGCCAUGGAAUACAGUGAAAAGAAUCACAGAGGAAAUAACUAACUGAAAGAGAACUGAAAAUAUCAAGAGUACCUGAGCUACAAAAAGGAGAAUGUCAGUAACUAAUGCUACUGAGACCAGGCAUUCCCCAUUCUUCAUUCUUCAGGUCACUGUCAAGAGAAGUGUGCAGUAAAAUGAAAGACAGAUGCUCUCAUUUCCUCUAAUGAUGCAAUCCCACUAAUGGGACAGGUCCAGCACCCUCAGUUGCUCCUGACUCACCUAACAAGAUGGGCUGCAGCUCAAGAAAUACAUCCCAGCCCAUGUUCUGCCUGUAUCAAAGAGAUGAGGACUUGCAGCAUCUUACAAGAGUAUUACAAUUCCUUGCUGAGGAAGAUGAAAGUCUGGCAAAACCCAGUACAUACAAGGCUUUGCUUUUGCUCAAAUAUUGAUUCCUUACUUAAAAUGUAAACUUUUUUCUUGAGUCCACUCUUGUGAAGCAGCCUCAGCCACCACUCUCAGCAGCACGUAGUUAUCUGUAACUACAAUGGCCAUGGUAAAUUAAGUUACAGAUAGAAGUUACGGGUAAAGCAACAUUUCCACAGGGGAAAGGUUCACAUUCACAUCAGAUGCUCUGGAAAUAAUGACAGAAAUCAACUACCACUGACAAUAAACUUCUGCAUGUCAUAUUCCAGAAAUCUGGCGAUUACAAGACUUAGACAGCAACACCUCUUCUUGCUCAGAUAAGCUUAUGCUUUGAAGAUUUGGUUUUAGCAGUGGUUUAAAUCCAAGAAAAAGCAAAGGAGGUUGAAAGAUAUUGUGACAAUAUUUUGCUUCGAAAGUUACACUCCAGGAUCCCCAUAUCUCCCCAGCAAUCUGCUUUCAUGAUCCCAAACCUAGCAGGGAUAUUUAAUAUCACCUGUUAAGUCCUUCUUCUUCUCUUAUAUCAGAUAUGUAUGUUUGUUUUGAAAUGGGGAAUUACAAAAUAAAGCACAGCAGAAGGAAACAGGAUUGUCUUUCAUGCUUGUGUGUUUGUUAAAGAAAGUGUGCAGUAACAGAAACAGAAGAGGGAGCCUUUAAUCACAGUAUCAGCUUUGUUUGCAGAUACUCAGAACAUUAAAUAAAGCAUGCUCCUAUAUGUAACAUUCUUUCCCCAGAUGAUGGACAGAGUCCUCAGCUAGUUCUUGAAUAUCACCAACCUCCUUAGGCUUGGACUGACAGCUUGGUAGGUGUGUGACAUGUACCCUCCCCUCGGCUGAGAAGCCAUGGUUCCACAUUA